ACGAGAAAAUAUAAUUUUUUUGCAUUAAUAAUUAAAAAAAGAGGUACCCACUGAACCAAAUUAGAUUCGACCAAUACUGAUUACAUACUACUAGAUACAGUCAAAACUACUGGAUAAGACGUACUAAAUAAAACAUAAAAAAGAAUAUAACUCUAAUUAUUAUUAUUAUUAUUCUCUUUAUCAUCCAAAAAAAUAUAUGGUAGAUGACCCAUAAUUCUACGUAUCUUCCGAAUCAACAUCACUCUAGUGGCAGCCAACUCCAAGCAUAAUUCAUACACCAUUCUCUGAAGAUCCCUAACUGUGUUCAUCAACACAGCUAUGUCCCAUGCUAGAUUUGCCAUCACUACAAAAUGGAUGAACAAUAACUUUAGCACAUAAUUAAAAAAAUGCAAAAGUAAAGUCUAAAUCAGACAUGCAAUAUGAAUAAACUAAGUUGUAAAUAAAAUUCUUCAAUUUUAGUCAUUCUAUUUAUUCAGGGAAUAAGUGAUGAUCCGAGGAUUCUUACUUAAAGAAUCCUUGGCAAAGUUUACAACAAAAGUAAUCCAAUUUAACACUUUUCAUGUUAGCAGAAGAAAAAAAAAACUACUUCAACAUACGUAUAAGGAUUUUUUUUCUUACAAAAAAAGGGGGGCUUAUUUGGAAAGAGUUCUCUGCAAUUG
rnacentral:lncRNA from 1 species